GACGAACGCUGGCGGCGUGCUUAACACAUGCAAGUCGAACGGAAAGGCCCUGCUUUUGUGGGGUGCUCGAGUGGCGAACGGGUGAGUAACACGUGAGUAACCUGCCCUUGACUUUGGGAUAACUUCAGGAAACUGGGGCUAAUACCGGAUAGGAGCUCCUGCUGCAUGGUGGGGGUUGGAAAGUUUCGGCGGUUGGGGAUGGACUAGCGGCUUAUCAGCUUGUUGGUGGGGUAGUGGCUUACCAAGGCUUUGACGGGUAGCCGGCCUGAGAGGGUGACCGGCCACAUUGGGACUGAGAUGCGAGCCAGACUCCUACGGGAGGCAGCAGUGGGGAAUAGUGCAAAAUGGGCGGAAGCCUUAUGCAGCAACGCCGCGUGCGGGAUGACGGCCUUCGGGUUGUAAACCGCGUUCGCCUGUGACGAAGCGUGAGUGACGGUAAUGGGUAAAGAAGCACCGGCUAACUACGUG
rnacentral:rRNA from 1 species